rnacentral:rRNA from 1 species
UACGAACUGUGCAAUCGUUAUUCGGAUUCACUGGGCUUAAAAGGUGCGUAGGCGGCUUGCCAAGUAGGGUGUGAAAGCCCCCGGCUUAACCGGGGAAUUGCGCCCUAAACUGGCGAGCUGGAGUGAGAUAGGGGUGUGUGGAACUUCCGGUGGAGCGGUGAAAUGUGUUGAUAUCGGAAGGAACGCCGGUGGCGAAAGCGACACACUGGGUCUCAACUGACGCUGAGGCACGAAAGCCAGGGGAGCGAACGGG